CAAGGGAUAAAACAUUGAUCCAGGAGAUAACCUCAGCUGAAGAGGGACAAUUGGGGCGUUUAGUGGGUGAGGCGUUUCCCUUGUCAUUUUAUGCACGGGUCCUUAAAGUUCGUGUAGCAGGAACUCUGAGUAGUACCUGAUUAUGCACAGUACCUGUUUGUGCACAGUAGCUACCUGUGCACAGUAUCUGCUUGUGCACAGUACCUUCCUGAGCACCGUACCUGGGCCAUGCAGCUCCCAGCAGCCCUUUCUCUCCCCCUGCUGGUCAUGUGAUUUAAUUUUUAACUCACGAAAGGGAAUUCCCUGUGGAGGGGCUUGAGGGCCAAUUAAACACUCUACAAACUGACUUCACAGGCCCAGGAUGCAACCUGGCCUGGCCUUCUAACUUCCAGGACUUCAGGGAAACGAAAUUUCUCCCUGACCAACGUGGCAGUGACUAAGGUCUGUUAUCUUUUAGCUGGGCCUCAGGGGGAGGAAACUCAGAAUUAUGAAACGGGGCAGAGGCCUGGCCUGCACUGGAGUGAGUGCUGUGGGUCCCCAGCUUGUCUAGUUGUCUCACCCGAGACACUAAAAACGGCACAAAGAGCCGGCAGGCCACCCUGCACCCCGCACUUUGCCUCUGCCUUGUGACUGUGCUUAAUAUAGGUCAAAUGAAAACAGCUCCCAAAAUAGACCUCUGAGAAGCAGCUGCAGUUGUGAAAUGCUCCACAGAAAGGGAAAAGGUGUGGGUGACGGGAGCCCAGUUCUCCUCAGGUGUUACGUAACCCAGGCUUGGAAAUCGGGGCCAGAUGUCUGCAGAGAGCAAGCCAGCCCCUCCUGCCCUUUCCUCCCGGCUUUCCUCCCUCCAUGCCCCCACCCUAGACCCAGCAAUCAGCCCAACCACACAUCAGCAAACUCCGAGGGAGGGAGCUGGGCCCGUUCUGGACGGCAAGGUCACCCCUCAGAGCAUCCCUUGAGGAGCUGGUCGUGCAUACCUAAGCGAUCACGUGGCUCCCAGCAGAGCUGGCUGGGAGCUCCGGAAGUGGUCAGGGCAGAAAGUGGUAUGGAAGCGGGCGAGGCUGGAGGCAUAGCACGAAGGAGGGUGUGUGGUGGCACCCAACGCCCCCGGAGAGCUGACAGUGGUGGCAGCGGACGUGAAGCAAUAUACCAGAUUCAAGAAACCUUAGCAGGGC
rnacentral:lncRNA from 1 species